rnacentral:rRNA from 1 species
AAAGUCCAACGGGGCGCAGCAGUGGGGAAUAUUGCACAAUGGGGGAAACCCUGAUGCAGCAACGCCGCGUGAGUGAUGACGGCUUUCGGGUUGUAAAUCUCUGUCUUCAGGGACGAUAAUGACGGUACCUGAGGAGGAAGCCACGGCUAACUACGUGCCAGCAGCCGCGGUAAUACGUAGGUGGCGAGCGUUGUCCGGAUUUACUGGGCGUAAAGGGAGCGUAGGCGGACUUUUAAGUGAGAUGUGAAAUACUCGGGCUCAACUUGAGUGCUGCAUUUCAAACUGGAAGUCUAGGGUGCAGGAGG